AUGUAAAAUAUUUUAUUUUUAAAAAUUAAAUAUUUAUAAAAUUUUUAGCAGUAUGUUAUAUUAAAUAUUAAUGAGAGUUAGAUUUAGUUAUUUUUAUAGUAAUAGCAAAAUUUGUGCCAGCGGCUGCGGUUAUACAAAUAUUACAAAUAAAUUAUUUUUAAUUAGUUAAAUUGUUAUUUUUAAUAUUAUAAGAUAUUUAUUUGGUGAAAUAAGAAAUAAUUAUUUUAUUAAAUUUAAAAUUGAAGUCUUAGAAAAAAUAAUAAAAAACUAGGAUUAGAAUACCCUAUUAUUUAUUUUAUAAAUUUAUUUAAUGGGUAGUAAAAGUUAUGUUCUUGAAACUCAAAAAUUUUGACGGUAUUUUAUUCUAUUCAGAGGAACUUGUCUUAUAAUCGAUAAUCCCCGUUGGACCUUUCUUUAAUUUGUUUAAUUUAUAUAUCGUCGUUAUAAGAGGUUUUUAUAAGAAUAUUAAAUUUCUAGAAUUAUUAUAUUAAUUUAUAUCAGAUAAAGGUGUAGUUUAUGUUAAAGUGGAUGAUGAGUUACAAUAAAUUUAUUUAUAUGGAUAAUAAAAUUGAAAUUUAAUUUAUUGAAGGUGGAUUUGAUAGUAAUUUAUAUAGAUUAAUAAAUUGAUAUUAGUUCUAAAAUGUGUACAUAUCGCCCGUCGCUCUUAUACAAUUUAAGAUAAGUCGUAACAUAGUAGAUGUA
rnacentral:rRNA from 1 species